rnacentral:rRNA from 2 species
ACGGGUGAGUAACACGUGAGUAACCUUCCCUUGACUCUGGGAUAAGCCCGGGAAACUGGGUCUAAUACCGGAUACGACCUCCUGCCGCAUGGUGUGGGGGUGGAAAGAUUUAUCGGUCUUGGAUGGACUCGCGGCCUAUCAGCUUGUUGGUGAGGUAAUGGCUCACCAAGGCGACGACGGGUAGCCGGCCUGAGAGGGUGACCGGCCACACUGGGACUGAGACACGGCCCAGACUCCUACGGGAGGCAGCAGUGGGGAAUAUUGCACAAUGGGCGCAAGCCUGAUGCAGCGACGCCGCGUGAGGGAUGACGGCCUUCGGGUUGUAAACCUCUUUCAGUAGGGAAGAAGCGAAAGUGACGGUACCUGCAGAAGAAGCGCCGGCUAACUACGUGCCAGCAGCCGCGGUAAUACGUAGGGCGCGAGCGUUAUCCGGAAUUAUUGGGCGUAAAGAGCUCGUAGGCGGUUUGUCGCGUCUGCCGUGAAAGUCCGGGGCUUAACCCCGGAUCUGCGGUGGGUACGGGCAGACUAGAGUGCAGUAGGGGAGACUGGAAUUCCUGGUGUAGCGGUGAAAUGCGCAGAUAUCAGGAGGAACACCGAUGGCGAAGGCAGGUCUCUGGGCUGUUACUGACGCUGAGGAGCGAAAGCAUGGGGAGCGAACAGGAUUAGAUACCCUGGUAGUCCAUGCCGUAAACGUUGGGCA